AGUGAACGCUGGCGGCGUGCCUAAUACAUGCAAGUCGAACGGAGUGGCGCACGGGUGAGUAAUGUAUAGCUAAUCUGCCCGACACUAGAGGACAACAGUUGGAAACGACUGCUAAUAAUCUAUAGUGUAGGAUGAGGUUAGAAUGUAUCAUCUAGUUGGUGAGGUAAUGGCUAGCCAAGGGUAUGACGAAUAACUGGUCUGAGAGGAUGAUCAGGCACCCUGGAACUGAGACACGGUCCAGACUCCUACGGAAGGGAGCAGUAGGGAAUAUUGCUAAAUGGGGGAAACCCUGAAGCAGCAACGCCGCGUGGAGGAUGACACUUUUCGGAGCGUAAACUCCUUUGGUUAGGGAAGGGGUAGAGAAAGAAUAAGCACCGGCUAACUCCGUGCCAGCAGCCGCGGUAAUAG
rnacentral:rRNA from 1 species